GACGAACGCUGGCGGCGUGCUUAACACAUGCAAGUCGAACGGAAAGGCCCUGCUUUUGUGGGGUGCUCGAGUGGCGAACGGGUGAGUAACACGUGAGUAACCUGCCCUUGACUUUGGGAUAACUUCAGGAAACUGGGGCUAAUACCGGAUAGGAGCUCCUGCUGCAUGGUGGGGGUUGGAAAGUUUCGGCGGUUGGGGAUGGACUCGCGGCUUAUCAGCUUGUUGGUGGGGUAGUGGCUUACCAAGGCUUUGACGGGUAGCCGGCCUGAGAGGGUGACCGGCCACAUUGGGACUGAGAUACGGCCCAGACUCCUACGGGAGGCAGCAGUGGGGAAUAUUGCACAAUGGGCGGAAGCCUGAUGCAGCAACGCCGCGUGCGGGAUGACGGCCUUCGGGUUGUAAACCGCUUUCGCCUGUGACGAAGCGUGAGUGACGGUAAUGGGUAAAGAAGCACCGGCUAACUACGUGCCAGCAGCCGCGGUGAUACGUAGGGUGCGAGCGUUGUCCGGAUUUAUUGGGCGUAAAGGGCUCGUAGGUUGUUGAUCGCGUCGGAAGUGUAAUCUUGGGGCUUAACCCUGAGCGUGCUUUCGAUACGGGUUGACUUGAGGAAGGUAGGGGAGAAUGGAAUUCCUGGUGGAGCGGUGGAAUGCGCAGAUAUCAGGAGGAACACCAGUGGCGAAGGCGGUUCUCUGGGCCUUUCCUGACGCUGAGGAGCGAAAGCGUGGGGAGCGAACAGGCUUAGAUACCCUGGUAGUCCACGCUGUAAACGGUGGGUACUAGGUGUGGGGUCCAUUCCACGGGUUCCGUGCCGUAGCUAACGCUUUAAGUACCCCGCCUGGGGAGUACGGCCGCAAGGCUAAAACUCAAAGGAAUUGACGGGGCCCCGCACAAGCGGCGGAGCAUGCGGAUUAAUUCGAUGCAACGCGUAGAACCUUACCUGGGUUUGACAUGGAUCGGGAGUGCUCAGAGAUGGGUGUGCCUCUUUUGGGGUCGGUUCACAGGUGGUGCAUGGCUGUCGUCAGCUCGUGUCGUGAGAUGUUGGGUUAAGUCCCGCAACGAGCGCAACCCUUGUUCACUGUUGCCAGCACGUUAUGGUGGGGACUCAGUGGAGACCGCCGGGGUCAACUCGGAGGAAGGUGGGGAUGACGUCAAGUCAUCAUGCCCCUUAUGUCCAGGGCUUCACGCAUGCUACAAUGGCUGGUACAGAGAGUGGCGAGCCUGUGAGGGUGAGCGAAUCUCGGAAAGCCGGUCUCAGUUCGGAUUGGGGUCUGCAACACGACCUCAUGAAGUCGGAGUCGCUAGUAAUCGCAGAUCAGCAACGCUGCGGUGAAUACGUUCCCGGGGCU
rnacentral:rRNA from 1 species